GUGUGCGAUCCUUUCAGUACUUAUGCAUCGGAUUCCAUCAGAACUUCGCAGUUAAGCGUGCUUGGGAGAGAAUAGUUCUAAGAUGAGCAGACAGUAUUCUGUUUCCUUCGCUAUGU
rnacentral:rRNA from 1 species